UGUCAAAAUAAAUAAAUAAAUAUUGGUCAGCGGCGCAAUGGAUCGGCGGGCAGGGGGGGUUUCCAGGUACUCGGAAACCCCCCCUGUGUGCACAUAUGAGUCAGUCGGAUUGUGGGCGGAAUGGACUCGGCUUCCAGCUCUUGUGGAUCUCAUAUAAGGGCUCUUUGCUGCGUGCUCCAGGCGCCAUUUUGGUAACCUGCAGAGCGGAGAGAGGUGCUGCAGAGUGCUGAAUUGGUUUAUUUUGCUGUGGGAAAGUGCAAUACGGUGAACUAAACACCCAGCAAGCCUUCAUCCAGUCAGGACAGACAGACAGCAUUGGACAGAGGAGAGGGAGUUUUAGGACUGUUUUCUACACUUUUAGUUAUGUCCAGGGACAAGCACCCCCAUGCCCCAACCCCCCCACCCCCCUUUACACUCCUCAGAGGAAUCUUUGGACGGCGGCGAGGAGUGAGACCCAACACAGGAAGAAGAUAUGGCAAGCCAGCAGAGGACAUCGAAAGAAGGCGGAGACCAACACAAAAAAAAGAAAAAGACGAGACAGUUUUCACCUGCCAUUGCAGGACACACCCCUGAUUGCAAUAAAUACACCCAUAGGCGGAACUAGACACACCCCUUGGGCGGAGCUCGACACACCCCUGCACGGCGCAUUCUGCUGCCACCUGGAAUCUCCCUGAAACUAGUUUUCAAAAGUAGGCAAGUAUGACAUGUAUGAGUAAAUAAUAAAGACUUGUAUGAGUGUAACUUCCAAUUUGCUGCAAAAGUUUCCCUUUCAUAUAUUUCUCCUUAUUUUUUUAG